UACGGAGGAUGCGAGCGUUGUUCGGAAUCACUGGGCGUAAAGCGUGCGUAGGCUGUUUCGUAAGUCGUGUGUGAAAGGCGCGGGCUCAACCCGCGGACGGCACAUGAUACUGCGAGACUAGAGUAAUGGAGGGGGAACCGGAAUUCUCGGUGUAGCAGUGAAAUGCGUAGAUAUCACGAAGAACUCCGAUUGCGAAGGCAGCUUACCAGUCUGCGACUGACGCUCAGGCACGAAAGCGUGGGUAUCGAACAGG
rnacentral:rRNA from 1 species